AAUGAGCAGAGAGAUCUGGAGAAACCAUGUCAAAGCUUUCCGAGAAAGACCGAGAACAAUACCUGGGGAACACCAAAAAGAGAGACGAUAAAGAAGGGAUGACAGGUCCCUGCAGGCCUGGACCAAGUGCAACACAGAACAAGCAACAAGACCAGAAGAAAGCAGUGUGUCUUGUUAUGUUCCUUUUCUAGGCUUUUAAUCAGCAGUGGCUUCCCAGCAGGAUGAGGCAGGGCUCCAACCAUUACAGGUUACCCAGAAGCCACCAGAGAAAAAUGGAGAAGGAAAGCCUUGAAGAAUGAGCAUCGUCCCAGAUGUGAUGUGGUUGCCAUAGAGACCACUCCAGACAGUAGCCAGGAAGGGCAGUGCCUGUCCUCAGAGCAGUUAACAAGCUAUUAGACCAAACAUGAAGGUGCCAGCAGUUGACACAUAGAGUGGGCCUCAAUUGCUUAGAAACCAAGCUGAACUCACAAAGAAAAGAAGAUGGGAGAAACUUCCCAAGAGGAAUAUCUCCAAAUUGCAGGUGAAGGUCACAGGGAAGACAUGCCUCUGUGUUAAAACUUCAGGUGGUCCUAGUAAUGGUACUAUGGGAAUGAAGCAUGGAGAGGAUUGUGAAAAGCUGCAGUGAGGAAGGAGCUUUCUCUCAAAGUGCAACCCUCCAAGGAUUAAAUAUCAUAAGAAGAAUUCUGGACUGAAGAGUUACGAUGUCAUUUUAGAAACUUCCAGAUAAUUUGUAUUAAUUAAAUUCUCACCAGUUGAGUUCCAUUCUACACGAGAAGAUCAUUUCUUCUGGGAGUGCUCCUCAAAAUGAACAUUUGGCAAACACAGAGAGAUAUGCUCAAAGAAGAGGUGAGUUUGGAACUGCAAAUCUUCCCAGCCUCAGGACUUCUAUUAUGGUUGCUUGCUGUGCUACAAAGCUGGAGGUCUAAAGUGGAGGCAUGCAGAAGAUGCCGUCUGGCUUAUAAAGGGUCUAAUUACAUGUGUGUGCAGCCCUAUGUGGCAGUCUGGGAAGCCAAUGAUACAACUAACUAUACUGAAACAACAAACGUGAGCUUCCACUAAGGGCCCCCGCCUAUAGAGCCAUCAUGUUGUCAUGUCAUUUUCAUACAUUGUCAUUCCUUUCUUUUGUUCUAGCUUCACUUGUUGACUUUUCUCCCCCUAUUAAAAUCCUCCUCCUUUCAGGACACCAUCAAGAGUCACCUCCUCAGGGAAGCCUUCCAUGGUUUUAUACCACCCAUCCCUAUCUGAAUGAAUGUAUCUUUGUUCUCUGUUAACCCAAUAUUUGCUGGGCUUUAUCACACUACUUUCAAUGCCUACACCUCAGUCAUCAAAUCCGAAAAACAAGAGUCAUCAGUCUCUAAGGUCCUUGCAAGCUUCAAAACUUCAUAUUUUUGUCAAUUAGAACCUAAUAAAGCUGAAAAAACU